CCCAGACUCCUACGGGAGGCAGCAGUGAGGAAUAUUGGUCAAUGGGCGGGAGCCUGAACCAGCCAAGUCGCGUGAGGGAUGACGGCCCUAUGGGUUGUAAACCUCUUUUGUCGGGGAGCAAAGAGAGUCACGUGUGACUCAUUGAGAGUACCCGAAGAAAAAGCAUCGGCUAACUCCGUGCCAGCAGCCGCGGUAAUACGGAGGAUGCGAGCGUUAUCCGGAUUUAUUGGGUUUAAAGGGUGCGUAGGCGGGAUGCCAAGUCAGCGGUAAAAAUGCGGUGCUCAACGCCGUCGAGCCGUUGAAACUGGCGUUCUUGAGUGGGCGAGAAGUAUGCGGAAUGCGUGGUGUAGCGGUGAAAUGCAUAGAUAUCACGCAGAACUCCGAUUGCGAAGGCAGCAUACCGGCGCCCAACUGACGCUCAGGCACGAAAGCGUGGGUAUCGAACAGGAUUAGAUACCCGCGUAGUC
rnacentral:rRNA from 1 species